rnacentral:rRNA from 1 species
CGGGGUGAGUAAUGUCUGGGAAACUGCCUGAUGGAGGGGGAUAACUACUGGAAACGGUAGCUAAUACCGCAUAACGUCGCAAGACCAAAGUGGGGGACCUUCGGGCCUCAUGCCAUCAGAUGUGCCCAGAUGGGAUUAGCUAGUAGGUGGGGUAACGGCCCACCUAGGCGACGAUCCCUAGCUGGUCUGAGAGGAUGACCAGCCACACUGGAACUGAGACACGGUCCAG